rnacentral:rRNA from 1 species
CCUACGGGAGGCAGCAGUGGGGAAUAUUGGGCAAUGGACGCAAGUCUGACCCAGCAACGCCGCGUGAAGGAAGAAGGCUUUCGGGUUGUAAACUUCUUUUAAGGGGGAAGAGCAGAAGACGGUACCCCUUGAAUAAGCCAAGGCUAACUACGUGCCAGAAGCAGCGGUAAUACGCCGGUGGCAAGCGUUGUCCGGAUUUACUGGGUGUAAAGGGCGUGCAGCCGGAGAGACAAGGUAGAUGUGAAAUCCACGGGCUCAACCCGCGAACUGCAUUUGAAACUGUUUCCCUUGAGUGUCGGAGAGGUAAGCGGAAUGCGUGGUGUAGCGGUGAAAUGCGUAGAUAUAAGGCAGAACACCGGUGGCGAAGGCGGAUUACUGG